rnacentral:misc_RNA from 1 species
AAGUCGUAACAAGGUUUCCGUAGGUGAACCUGCGGAAGGAUCAUUAACAAAUCUAUAGAGUGGGGAAGGGAUAAAACUCUUUUUCACUCUUUUUCAACACCUUGUGAAUUGUUAACUAGUUUUCCUUCGGGCUUAAUUGCCCGACGGUAUUUUUUAACCCCUUGAUUUUCUUGGACGUAAAAAUUACUAAAUUAUUUACAACUUUUAACAAUGGAUCUCUUGGCUCUU